rnacentral:rRNA from 1 species
AGCUCCAAUAGCGUAUAUUAAAGUUGUUGCAGUUAAAAAGCUCGUAGUUGGAUUUCUGGUAGGAGUGACCGUUCCGGACUUGAUUGUCCGUGUAUUGUGUUGUCUCCAGCCAUCCUUGUGGAGAACUUUUCUUGCAUUAAUUUGUAGGGAUUGGGACCCGCAUCGUUUACUGUGAAAAAAUUAGAGUGUUUAAAGCAGGCAAUCGCUUGAAUACAUUAGCAUGGAAUAAUAAGAUAGGACUUUGGUACUAUUUUGUUGGUUUGCAUACCAAAUUAAUGAUCAACAGGAACAGUUUGAGGAUAUUCGUAUGAACAUGUCAGAGGUGAAAUUCUUGGAUUUUGAUCAGACGAACUACUGCGAAAGCAUUUAUCAAGGAUGUUUUCA